GGGUGUACGCGCAGUGGGGCGCGGCAGGUUCAUGCGCUGGUCGGGCCGCCGCG
rnacentral:ncRNA from 15 species